rnacentral:lncRNA from 1 species
GUGGCAAGUAUAAUUUCAGAUAAAUUUAUGAUUGCAAAAAGGAUUAACGACCAUCGAGUCUAUAUAAAAUUACUAGUUUUAAAAAAUCAGACACUAGGACUGAAUUUAUACCGAAGAUGUUUGGUGGCUUUUUGCUCUCUGUGUUAGUCGUUUAUGGUAAGCUACUAUUUGAAUGAUAUAUAGAAUACCCAUUACACAUAUGUUUUGUUGUAUAUAAUGUGUGUGGGAUUGAAUCAGUAUUACAAUUUACAGAAGAUUUUAACGUAAAUUUUGAUAAGAAAUUUCUGUGGCAUAUUACACUUUAGUAUUGCAAAAAGUUUGAAUCUCUUAAACAUGUUUGUAUUAAGGCCUGGAAAUUUAAAAACGUUCAACAACUCGUGUAAAGAGAAGAUACAAGUACUUAUAUUAUUUUUCAUUUAAACGGACCGAUUAAACACAGACUAUAACAUAAUUUAUAUGAAUAACUUAAAAUUGAUAAAAAACAAACCCAAUCAAAAACCAGAGCUGAACGCUUGUAUCCCGAAAGGGUCAUCGUCUCCUUUUUCCACAUAUGACAAUCGUUGUUCUAUUCGUGUAUAAUAAAGUAAUGCGCCCAAAGUUUUGGAAUGUCGGGUCCUCAAUGCUCUUCAUCUUUAUACAUAUUAAUAAAACGAUUUCAAUCUUUUUGGUCUUAAUGAAGAUGUGCAAUAUUUUGUUAUUUGCAAAAAAGGACAAACUUAAGAAUUCCUUGUCUUUCAGUGUAAGCAAUGAAUUAAUUAAAUCAACAUUCACCAAUUGCCUUUACUACUUCUCCUUUAUUUUUGUUUAUCUUAAAUGGGGAAACAAAUUGAGAUAGAGCAAAUAUCUUGGAAAUAAGUCCAAUAAAACAGACAUCAGCAUUGUCUAAAAUAAAAUGGCUAAACAACAAUGACAAAAAAUCACACAAGCAAACAUAUGGCUAUGCAAUACGAACCUUACCAAAAUCGGCUUUUUUUGUUCUACAUUAUUUCCACUAGCAAAACUUCACACUUACAUUUAAAAAAAAAAGUUAUUGCAUUUUACUUUAUAUUGCAGUAAACUCUUUGACUAUUGUCUUUUUCGACAAAAACAUUAAUUUUAUAAAAAUUAUGUUUUAUUCAUUGAAAUAUGUUGUUAAUACUUAAAUCAAAUGUAUUAAACGAACGGUAACAAAUAAAGGUCACUAACAAAGCGUUUAUAUUUAACAUGUUCAGUAUGCUGUGAUGAAUGUCCCGAUAAAUGGUCUCAGUACAAAGAUCACUGUUACUGGCCGUCAUCAUCCAGUGCAUAUGGCUGGAAAGCUGCAGAGGUAACGUCAAAUAGAUGAUGCAUGCUACAUAAACAGCAUGAUAGAUAACUUUACAUGUAUAUUCAACCUAAUUUUUAUUUGUAAAUGUAAAAAUAAACAGCACAGUGGCGGAUCCAGCGAGAAGGGGGUCCGGGGGUCCGAACCCCCCUUUUUUGGACGAUCAAUGCAUUUGAAUGGGGACAAAUGAUUAAAACCCCACCUUUAUCCUGGGUUACCCUUCCCCUUUUAGAAUGGUUGGAUCCGUCCCUGCAGUUUGAUAGCAUGAUAACGAUGACACAGACGACAAAAAGCAAAAUGAUAUAAAAAUACAACUACAACAACCAUAAAAAAAGGCAUCACGAUAUGAUAUUGUAAAAGCUCCACUUUGAUAGGGAAACAAAGAGGUCUUUGUUCUAAUAUAAUAUGGACAAACAACGACUUAUAUAAAGGAAUAAUGAUAUGGCAUUACACAAUUCGAUGUUUUAUUAUCAAUAUACUUUGGAUAAUAUUCCUGUUCUUGCAAAUCAAACCAUUAAAUAACCUUAUACUAUGAUCGAAAUAUUCAUUGUUGACAACUAGUAAAGAAAAAAAAUGUUUUCGGUUUGACUAAUUACGUAGAAUGAUAUUAAUUCUGAAAGGAAAGAAUUGUAUAAAAAGAGAUAAUAAAUUGCUAUAGUUAAACCAAACUACAAAACAGGCCAAAUCCAAAUAACUUUUAAAAAAUAUCAUGAGGGGGACUUCAAUGGGGAAUUAAAUUAUAUUUAAUUCAUAUUAUCACUAGGGAUAAAGUUGAAUAGGUUUUAGGUAUAUUUCGUAAUGGAACAAUAACUAACUCUUAAUAGUUUUUAUUGAUUACAGCCGAUUGCAUUUAGUGUGUGGUUAAAAGUAAAAUAUUUGGUUAACUUGCUUGAUAGCUGAACCGUGAAGUCAUCACUAGGUAAGGUAUACUACAGUCCUUAUAGAGUAGUCUUAUCCUACAGACAGAUUGGUUAUCUGUCGGAAUAGUCCUAAAGGAGGGUAGUUUACCUUACCUAAUAAUGACUUCACGGUUCAGCUAGCAAGCUAGCUAACCAAAGAUAGUACCUAUACAUAUACACUCAAUGCAAUCGGCUGUAAGUAUAGCAGUCGAAUUUUCGAUACUAAUCUUCAGAUUGUUUAUAUCCAUUGUUAAUAAUAAUUGCAGCGCGCAUGUGAGAACCGUGGUGGAUAUCUGACAGAAAUAGAGGACCAUGACGAGAACGAUUUCAUUGCUCGACUGACGUUUGGCGCAGGUAAUUAUAAUUGUUAUUUAUAAGUGUAUUUUUCUUUUAUAAUAACCGUAGUAUUAUGUCCUCCUCUUCAUUUAUGACUUAAAAAGGUAAGAAUGAUGAUUUUGCUUUAUUAUUACAAUAGAUUAACAAGUUUUUCUACAGUACAUUAAUUGGUAGUAAAUGCAUGUUAUUUGCAUCACUGUAACCGUCUAAGACUAUGUUCUUAGGAUUGAUAUGAGUCCGCACUAAAGUUUCAAUAAACGGCAUCGCCUUUAGAAACUAAUCAACUAAGUAAAAUCAUUAAUUCAACUUUGAAGUGCUCAAUAACUACAAAUCACAGUGGUGUGAUUUUACCCUGGACAUAAGUCUAUAAAUUUCCCUUGUUUUUUUUAUUGUAAAGAAAUGACAAUACAUGUAGAUAUCGAUUAAUAUUAACAUGCCAAAUUUAUUCUAGGGAUAAAACUGAUUGUUCAUUUGUAAUUAUAACUCGCAAUAGGUUGCAAAACAUAAUGUCACAUUUGACUAAUCAUUGCAACUACAAUAUUUGAAACAGUGCUGAUUUUGUACAUUUUAAACAAGGCACAUGGUUCUUUAUGGGUAUUGUUCAUGAAGAACAAUCUGGUGGAUAUGUUACUGCAAGCAAUAGUGAUGAACUGGAAUAUAGUAACUGGCUAGAAACUGAAAACGACGAAUCAGCUGGGCCAAGAUGCGCAAGAAUGGGCUAUCUUGGCUACUGGGAUUCAUACUCAUGUGACGAAAAACAGUAUUUCAUUUGUGAGAGGUAAAAUAUUGCAAGGUUUUGAAUCAAACGUACGUGUAUUUUGUGGACAAUGUAAGUAUAAAAAACAAGAUAUGGCAUGAUCGCCAAUCAGACAACUCUCCACAAGAGGCCAAAUGACACAGAAAUUAACAACUAUAGCUCACCGUACGGUCUUCAUCAAUGAACAAAUCCCACACUGCAUUGUUAGCUAUGAAAGGCCCCGAAAUGACAAUGUGAAACAAUUCAAACGAGAAAAACUAAGGGCCUAAUUAGUAAACCUCGAACCUUAUUGUUCAACAAAUGUUCUGCCUCCGGACUUUAACAAAACUGAGUUAUAUAAUACACACGACAGCAUGUUGCUCCUAAAUGAAAAAAAAAUUCAUUCACGACAAAAAAAAUGAAUUCACAGUAUCACACCUUAAGUGAACUUUACUCUAUUGUCAACGUCCUGACAUUUUCAUACAUUGAUCUGUAAAUGUUUAGUCACUCAAUAAUAAUUGUAAAGAAAAAAAGGUCAUUAUUUUUUUUUUAUGCAGGAUUGAACUUGGACAGUUUUUACUAAUGUGUUUAGGUCCUUGAUACUUAUAUUCUCUAAAGGUGUAAUACCACCAAAUCAUGGUACGUCACUCAAGUUGUAUACGUAAAUAGGUCGAAAAAAAUAUUCCCAUGAAUUUGACAGUUGUAGGUAAUUUAUCAUACAUUUUAUUGCAGUCAAAUAUUUCUGUGUCAUAAACAUAUGUCUUGGGUAUUUUUGAUCACCAUUCUGCACAAUUUUUUGAAAAGUGCAAAUUUAACAAAGACUAAUAGAGGAAAAUCAUUGGUGGUAUUACACCUAAAAUGUGUAAGUGUGUUUUUUGUUUAUUUUUGUUGUUGUUAUUAUUAUUAUUCAUAAUUCAGGCCUUCCAAAAUCUUUUUCACAAAUAGUAGUUGAGACGGCUUACACCAGAAUUACGCGUUUUACUGUCGGAAUUUAUAUCGCUCUAUUAUUCUCUAAUAAUGUCCUCUGGAUAUUUACAAUUUCGAUCACAAUUCAACAGUUCGCGACAUUUGCUAUAUAAUUGGAAUGGUAUAAUGGUGAAUGACAUAAAAAGGGAGACAUUUACCCAGUCAAUUCUAAAUGACUGACACCCUUUUGGUAUUCAAGCGAUUUUUUAUAGUCACACGUCUCUUAUAUUUUAAAUGGUUGCAUUACAUUUGAACUGGCAACACUAAACACAAUCUUUAGAUAAACAAACAAAAACUAACCGAUGUAUUCUAAUUUCCAUUUCUAAUUAGAUUGGAUACUCUGUACUUAGGUGAGAAAUUGUCUAAUUUGUUUCACAGAGUGGUAUUUUUUCGUCAAAACAAUUGGUACAAAGCAAGGACGCGAAAGUUUUUAAAUUAUUUACUUUUAUUUCAAUAAUCAAUAAUUUUAUCACAAAAUUUAAAAAAAAACCGUAUGGAAACGUAAAAAUUGAAACGUAAAUAAAGUCUGAUUAAUCACUUAAAUUCCUUUCUAGUUUUAUAUACUAAUUUCUCAUCUUGAAAUUCAUUGCCAAUGUUUUGUCCUGAUUUCCAGUAAAACGAGUUUACCCCUUCCAACAUUGUCACCGCUAUGCUUUAAUAUCUACUCGCUCUGUAAAGGAAACGUGUUUCAUUGGAUAAAAAACCCAGGUGGUUGUAUUUCAUAUUUUUGUUGAUAAAUUCAGAUGAAAUCUUGUAUAUCGCUAAUUUUUGUUGAUUUUUAUGUUUCAUUAGUAAUAGUAGCAUUUGUAACAGAAGUUGUCAACGUUAUUAUUAUCAUUACAGUGAUGAAUAUAUAGGCAGCAGUUCUUUUGGAACAUGGUUAUCAAAUACAAAUUCAUUCAGAUAUGAAGAUCAUUACUACAGAACUGUUGGCAAAAAGGCAACAUACGCCGAAGCUCAGGUAAAGGACAUAAGUAUUUGAUUCAACUGGUCGCAAUCAUAAAAUGGAUAAAAAUGCACAAGGUGAAAUUAUAAAAAAAAACCAUACUGCGUCAUUUAAAUAUAUGAAUUUAAAUUUCACAAAAACUACACAUUGCAUCAAAUAAAGAAAUUCGUUAAAGACAUGUGACUAUAGCGCUAUCAUGUGUUUGGCAAUCUGUAAGCGAUCAUUUAACAAGGAUUAAGCAAUGGACUUGUCGACACUGAUGUUGGUAAUGUGCAUGACGUUAAAAUAGUAAUAAGGUGAGAUUAUGUUUUUUUUUAUAUAUGUAUUAUAUAAUUUGUCUACAAACAGCCAAACAAUGUUACAUCUGAACCUAUGACAACACUAACACAUAUUUCUUCAAUCAGAUCACCAGUAAUGGUGAUACAAGGAUGAAAAACAUAUUGUUAUAUAAUUCGCCAAACAAUGUUAGAUCUGUAAGUGUGCAGAAGAAAAUGUUUUGUUCCUCCCUGGCCGAGAUUCGAACUGACGCUACUGAGAUAUCGUGGCACCAAAUCGCCUUGCACUGUAUCCGACGCUCUAGUGUUUUUUUUGUUGUUCUUCUUGAUAUAUAUAUAUAUAUAUAUAUGUGAUGUAGUGUAUCAAAGGUGUGAGUUCGAAUCCCGCUAAGGGACGAAAAAAAAAUUGUCAGUAGAAAAUCUAACUCUAACACUGUUUGGAGUAAUUUUCAUACUUAUAUAUAUAUACGUCUGAGUCAGUGACAACCCUACAACAGAUGUAUCCAUCGGAUCGCCAUCAAUGAUGGUGAUACAUGGCUGUGUACAUAAUGUAUAUACAACUCGUCUAAACAUCAACCCAUAUAUAUAUAUACAACUCGUCUAAACAUCAACCCAACAAUGUUAGAUCUGUAAAUUUGCUUUCGCAAAAUUUUUGGUUCUUCCCUCGCCGGGAUUCGAACCCAUGCUACUGUGAUAUUGUGACAUCAAAUCGCCUGCACUGCAGCCUUCCCGCUUUAUAUAUAUAUAUAAAGAAUGUCAGCACAGUAUACUUACAGGUAAAUUGUCUUCAAAAAGUUAACCAUGGAAUUAUUGUGUUUCUUUUAAGCAAUGAACAAUAUUACUCUAAUGUUUUUUUGGUUUAUUAUAGAAAAUGUGUAAAAAAGCUGGCGCGUAUCUCGUUGAACCCAACGACGAAGGUGAAAAUGUCUAUGUGCAUGACAAGAUGCACGAAGCAUGUAAGUAACUUAUCAGGAAUUAAUUAAAUUGAAAAUGAAAUUAACGGUCGCAAGUACAAAAUACCGAUUAAUUAUGAAGAGCAACUUUUUUACCAGCAAACGUAUCUAAGGAAAUAGUCUGACUAUGCGAUAUGGGCUUUGCUCAUUGUUGAAGGCCGUAAGGUGAUCUAUAGUUGUUAAUUGCUGUCUCAUUUUGCUCUCAUGUGGAGAGUUGUCUCAUUGGCAAUCAUACCAUAUCUUCUUUUUAUAUAUAGAUUAGGCCGUUGGGUUUCCUAUUUGAAUGGUUUCACACUAGUGAUUUUGGGACACUCUAUAGCUUGCUGUUUAGUGUGAGCCAAGGCUCCGUGUUGAAUAUCGUAGUUUGACCUAUGAUGGUUGACUUUUAUAAAUUUUGACUUGGAUGGUCUAUUUGCCACUCAUACCACAUCUUUUCAUAUCUAUAUAGAAUACAUUUUUUCAAGUAUCAUAAUUCAAUUCACAAAAUAUAUUUUUUUCUAUUUAUGAAACACAUUUCUUGAAUCACGUUCUUCAGGUACGCUCGUAACAAAAAGGACGGAUGGUUCUGUAGUAUUAUUUUAGUUUUCGGUGUUUAUUAGUGGAAAGUAUUUGAAAUGAUCGCCAAAAAAAUCCGAGUAUAUACUUUUAAAGCAAAACAACAGACCACAUGAGCAUUCUACACCAGAUUUACCAAAAAUACAGGUGUACAAACAAAAACAAACAAGAAAUGAUUCAGAUAGCCUGACCUAACAAAAUGUGGUUGGGUUAACCUAAUGUCACAUGUGCACUGACCCCUCCCUUUGACUGUGUUUACAAUAUCUCGUAAAAUGAAACACAGAAUAUAAACACAUCAGAACGUUUUUGAUUAAGACGAAAAACCUUCAUGUUUUGAAAGUACUCAUAAUAACACCACUACAAACACAAUUUCAUUUUAAUAUUCUUGUCAUGGUUAGGAAGUACAUACAAUAACAUCAUUACAAACUCAAUCUAAAUUCAAUGUUCUUGUACAUGUCUGUAAAUAAAAUCUCUUCUAUUUUUAGAAAUUUACCUGUGAUAAUAUAAACGUCACAAAAAAUACGUCACGUUUUUGGAUGUUGAUUUGUUCAUUUGACGCACAGUUUUGUUUUCGUUUUUUGUGUCCUGGUGCUGUAUUAAAUGCAUAUAAGGUAUCCGUUGCUAUCUUUUGCUAUUCUACUACUUUAAUGCUGUACAGUACUACAAUUAUAUUAUGUAUUAUACUUCUCUGUGCUGAUUGUUUAUACUGUAUUUCUUUCACGAAGUGUUCUACUUAAGCGGUAUUGUUAAUAUUGCCAUAUCAGAGGGAAUUUGUCAGUGGUUAUCUACAGUCCUUUUCUGUUCGUGUAACCGUUUACUUUUGUUGUAGUUCAGUGUGUCUGUUGUUUCGUUGUUUUCCUCUUAAAGUUGAUGUGUUUCCCUCGGUUUUAGUUUGUUGCCCGGAUUUGUUUUGCUUAAUUGAAAUAUGACUAUUGAAAAGUUGUAUACUAUGUUUACCAUUCAUUCAAGGCCAAAUAAAGUUCGAAGUUGAAGACCACUGAGGUGACCUAUUCAUAAGAAAAUAAUCCUUAGGUUCUCGAAAAAUUCAAAAGUUACGUAUACGGUAUACUAUUAAAAAUCAUUUAAAGGGUAAAUAACAGGUGUAGUGGUGAAUGAAUUUACGAUGACAGCAACUGUUCAAGGAUACAGAACGCAGAGCCUAUGCCUUUACAAUUCUUUUAAAACAAUAUAACCAAAUAUUAUGUAGACUAUUAUUAAUAUUACCACUCAAAUAAAUGGUUCUGUUUGUGAAACUGUUCUAUCACUCCACAAGGAACUGGGUUGGAGUCUUUUUAUCCGCUUGAGAUCCAUAAAACUUUAUCCUAAUCGUAGUGCAGAUUUUGUAUUUUCUUAAUUUGACUGCCAAAUUUUCAAUUUCAUAUAAGAUUAAUCAUGCUAUUUUGUUCUAUUAUAGAAAAUGUAUUCAAAAGUUGGCGCUUAUAUUGUUAAAUGACAAAAGUAAGUCUUUUUUUCCAUAGUUUAUGGUCAUUGGCGAUAUAUUGGAGGAACGGAUACAAAAAGGGAAGGAUAUUUCGUCUGGAGUGACAAUCAAGCUUUAACCUUUGAGAAUUGGUGGCCGGGAGAGCCUAAUAAUAAAUAUAAUGAGGAUUGCAUGGAAAUGAGAUAUUGGGGGAAAUGGAAUGACGUCGAUUGUUACCAUGACAACCGAUAUAUCUGUGAAAAGUACGUAAGAUUUAACAAAUCAGUUCGAGUUUGAACAUAAAUUAAUAUGUGCUUUAUUAAGAUUCAAAACGAGAAUCAAUGACGAAAAAUGUUGACUUCAACAUUUCCAUUGUCAGCUUCCUUCUUCUAAGCACUAAUAAAAAACUUUGCUUCAUCGUUUGGUGUUUAGUCAUCGGAGCAGAUACGUUACGCCUUUACAUGUUCACACUUUACGGACUUAAAUUGGUGUGUCUGUGUGUGUACGCUUUACUUAAAUACUGCUCUAACAGAGUAAUGAGAAAGACAGACUGAUACGAUGAGUUGAUGUAUCCAUUCCGAAUCGAUUUAGGAGAUUUUAAAAUCUACUGUUGCCUUAUUAAAGCCUCGGUCACACCUUGACGGAUAGCUCGAACGGAUGCCUAACGGAUAACUUUUUUCAAUCCGUUGAACGUCCGGUAGGCGGUCGUUUUUACGGUACUCUUCCGUUUCGUUUCCGUUUUGUAUCCGUUACGUGUCCGUUAUACAUCCGUUGGAAGUCUGGAAGAUAAAUUAACCAACGGACUUCUACCGGACGUAUAACAGAUAAAACCGAGGGUGAACGUAUGAGAAACGGACUUCUACCGGACGUAUAAUAGAUAAAACGGAUAAUGAAGGAAUCUGAAACGGAUAAAUACCAAUUGAAAAUUUCGCGUAAGAAAUGCCAAUUAUUGGUUUGUUAGAUUUAUUAAGGUUCAUGAAUUCUUAUUAUUCAUAAUCGAUCUUAGAGUAAGGACACGUCUUCACAAUCAAGCAGCUCUUAUUCAGGUCAGACACUGCCCUUUAGCGGCAUUAUGAAUAUUUAUGCGAUUUACAUGUAUUAUUAUUGUUGCCUUUCAUUUUCCUGUAUAUCUUGUUAAUCCGUUUUAUCCGGUACGCUUCCAUUAGGUGUCCGUUUUAUGCGGUACUCGUCCGUUGGGUGUACGUUCGACAUCCGUUCUGUCCGGUACGUGCGUUGCAUAUCCGGUGUGUGUCCGUUAUGCAUUCGUUACACGUCCAUUUUAUUCGGUCAGUACAUCAACGUACUCCCAACGGAUAACAAUUUUGUCAACGGACAAUUUUUAUUUUCAUCCGUUAGGCAUCCGUUCGUGCUAUUCGGUAAGGUGUGACCGAGGCUUAAGGAUCUACUUAGGUGAGGUUUUGGAAUUUGUGUCAGAUAUUUGGACCCCUUGGUAUUUUUCUAUACGAUAUAAGGUAUUUAUUUUGGUCAAUAAUACCUAUUUAUCUGUUCAUAUAAGAUUUAAUAUAUCAUAAAAAAGCUUCAAACGAAAUUUAAGCUGAUCCUUGAUUUUCUUUCUUUAUAGAUGAGACCCAAAUAAUACCAAUGCAAAUAUAAGGUAAAAGUCCGAGUCUACCUUUUCCAACCAUAUUUUAAAAAUCAAAUAUCUAGAAAAGAAUCUCCAUGACCUAUAUAUAUUUAUUUAGCUUACUUCGAUCAAUAACUAAUGCUCUUUCGGAAUAUAGUAUCAAUUUUUGAAUUCAUGAUUUAUUUAAUUUCACUCUAGUACACCGUUAACUAGUACAUUGUUGUUGUGCUUACGAAGUAAGAUAUAAUUUCUCAGUUGAUUUUUUACUUUAUAUACAAUGUUUUUGGAAGGAACACUUGAAUUUAUCAUUGCGACCCAUACACUGUUGUACAAAAGAAUAACAGAUUGCGAAAAUAAUAAUGAGGGGGGAUCGGACCUUUAUCGGGACGCCGGGAUCGGGUGUUUUUAAGCUCGGGAUUUCGGGAUUGACCCUUUCGGGAUCCGGGAAUACUUUUUUUUCGGAUUUCGGGAUGUCGGGAUUUGCUUUAUUUAAAUUCGGGACCUCGGGAUUUCGUUUUUUUAAGUCCGGGAUUUCGGGAUCAAGACCCCUCCUAUCCCCCCUCAAUAAUGGAUACGCACUCUACCAUUGUUCGAAAUAGGUGGACCGAUAAUAUGCAGUCAAAAUGGUGUUGUGAUGUCAAUUUAAAUGCAUGUUACAAUUUUGGCAUGAUGAUUGAUGUCCACACAUCACAAACAAAAUAUCAAAUCUUUAUACUUAAUACGUGCUACAUGUUAUCAAAAAGAUUUUGCAUAUAUUAUAAAUAUCGUUUCAAACAUAAAUGACUGAAGUCUUAGUUAUUCAUUUAUCGAAUUAGCUUUAGUAAUUGUUUAUGUCAUUUUUGUUAACAUUUUAAACAAAUUAAACAAAUCCAUUCUUUUGAAAUUUUGCAGAGCAAUUGGUGAUGAAGUCCCGACGACAGAGGCAAAUGCACGUGUCACAACAGAGGCUUACGUCGGAACAAAUGCACCAGUCACAUCACCUUCAAAUUCACCGGAAGCGACGACCGAAGAUUAUUUCUAUUAUUAGUUAUAAUUUAAGUAAUUAAUUUCUUCGAUAUUCUCUGUAUUAUUCGUUAUUUCUUUAAAAAAAUAUAUAGAUGUGAACAUAUAAUCAAUAAAAUAGUGCA